rnacentral:rRNA from 1 species
UACGUAGGGGGCAAGCGUUGUCCGGAAUUAUUGGGCGUAAAGCGCGCGCAGGCGGCUUUGUAAGUUUGGUGUUUAAGCUCGGAGCUCAACUCCGAUACGCAUCGAAAACUGCAAGGCUUGAGUGCAGAAGAGGAAAGUGGAAUUCCACGUGUAGCGGUGAAAUGCGUUGAGAUCGGAAGGAACGCCCGUGGCGAAAGCGAGGUCCUGGACCCUUUCUGACGCUGAGACGCGAAAGCCAGGGGAGCGAACGGG